UGACGGGACAAUUCAUUUUUGAUGGAGUUAGUGAUGAUGAGAAGAAAAAAUUUAGGUUUCUUUUCAGUAUCAUCAAUAUGAAAAACAUCCACUAGCACUUGGUGGCUAUCGACAUGGAGAAUAAAAGAUUUAUUCAUUUAAGCUCCAUCAAACAUAAAGCUAAAUAUGAGGCUAAUGUCAGAAAGUGGCAGUAGAUAGUAGCAGUCAUGUUUCGUAUAUAUUGUGAUAAUGCAGAAUUGAGUAAAUGGAAUAUGAAAGAAGAUCAUUACCGUCCUUCCCAGUCCGAGGAUUUCUUGGAUUGUGGACUCUAUUGCUUGAAGUACAUAGACUUUUUGCUCGUAAGGACAGAUCAGAUAAAUGAGACUUCAUGCAGGAUGAUGUAGUUCAAUAUUGAGGAGAGCUUGGGGCCAG
rnacentral:lncRNA from 1 species